GGGCCCGCGUUUCAUUAGCUAGUUGGUAGGGUAUAGGCCUACCAAGGCAACGAUGGGUAGCCGACCUGAGAGGGUGAUCGGCCACACUGGGACUGAGACACGGCCCAGACUCCUACGGGAGGCAGCAGUGGGGAAUAUUGCGCAAUGGGGGAAACCCUGACGCAGCAACGCCGCGUGAGUGAAGAAGGCCUUCGGGUCGUAAAACUCUGUCAUUGGGGAAGAAGAAAGUGACGGUACCCAAGGAGGAAGCCCCGGCUAACUACGUGCCAGCAGCCCGCGGUAAUACGUAGGGGGCAAGCGUUGUCUGGAAUUACUGGGCGUAAAGGGUGCGUAGGCGGCCGAUUAAGUCAUAUUUGAAAUACCAGGGCUCAACCCUGGGGGUGCAUUUGAAACUGGUUGGCUUGAGUGCAGUAGAGGAAAGUGUAAUUCCUAUUGUAGCGGUGAAAUGCGUAGAUAUUAGGAGGAACACCAGUGGCGAAGGAGACUUUCUGGACUGUAACUGACUCUGAGGCACAAAAGCGUGGGGAUCGAACAGGAUUAGAUACCGUGGUAGUCCACGCCGUAAUCGAUGUAUAGUAGGUGUCGGGG
rnacentral:rRNA from 1 species